rnacentral:lncRNA from 1 species
ACCCCACUCCAGGGUCUCCCAACAGAGUCAGUUGGGAAGGCCAGCCAUGGCUCCAAUGGAGUUGGUAGGCUAGGCCAGGCAGUGGCUGGAGACUGGCUGUGCAGGAUAACCACAACCAGGGCAAUAGGGGCAUCUGCAGAGUGCAUGUACCUUCCCCCUCAAAAAAAAAAUAUAUAUAUAUAUUUUCCUGUGAUACAGGUCACUGGGAUGCUGCAGGGCAAACACUAUCCCUACUAAGAAACAGGCUGUCCUCCCUGCACUGGGGCUCAAGGUCAACAGCAGUCCCAAGCGCACCUGGAACAUGUCCUUCAUUCCCUCACCUUUGAGCAGGUGCCUCUGAAGAAAGGAGGGAGGGUCCACUCCCCAUUCCCACUUGCCCGUUCCUUUCAGUGCAGGCAGAAACCCAGAGCCCUGGUCCUGCCAAGCCCGUAAUGGAGCUUCUCAGGAACAGACAGGGAAAGAGACACAGCUGUGCAUUGGGUGUGAGGGGAUGCUAAGAGGCAAAGACUAUUUAAGCAGGGGGGAACAGCCAGUGACUGAAGGGUGAGGUAUGUUUCCAGCUCCUCUUUUUUGCCCCUGACUUGACCCUCUCUUCCCCACCCCACCCCACCCAUCCACAGUUGCCAUGUCAGAGGACCAGGAGCCUGUGGCCACAGAGGCACUUCUGCCAGCCACAGAGGAGGAGUCUUACAUGCACUCCCUCUUGGUGGGUAAGUUGCUACCCCUCCCUCUCCAGUCCUGCUCUUGUGCUGCUCCACUCUUGCGCUGUAACACUCUCAAAAUCUCUUUCCUUUAGUCCUGGGGAAGACCUUGUUUGCUGGGCUGCCCAUUUCUGGCAUCGUUCUUGGAGCCGUUUAUCUUGACCAAUGUCCACGACAGCCUCUCGUUCCUAUCUACUUAAUGCUUCUAAGCAUUGUUGUGCUCCUCCUUCUCGGCCUCAGCUGCGUUCCGUGUGGGACUGGCACAGAUCAGCAAAGCGCCUUGACCCGCCACCUCCGGGCCGUCACCCUUCUCUUCCUCUGUGCCUGGUUCAUUGCAGGCAGCGUGUGGGUCUACUCCAUUUAUCCCCCUGACUACGAGUCUGUUGGACAGCCGAGCUUCUGCCACCGCACCCUCUUCCUUUUCGCCUUUGGGGUCACUACCACCCUUCAUGUGGCUUUGGCACUGGCACUUCUGCUUGCCCUCAGCAUCCUUGUGGGCAUCUUCAUUUUCAAGGCUGUCUUACCCUAUGGUGGACAUGGCAGUCGUGGGGGCCCAUAGCAGCUAAUGUGCAACAUGGGUGGGUAGUCGUUGGCGGUGUUUUUUUGUUGGUUUUUUUUCUUUUUUGGUACUGAUGCUGGGGCAUUUUGUCAAUAAAGUGGAUUGUGCUGCACGGAAUGUUCCA